UAUAACCUUAUUAAUCAGUAGAACAGAAAUAACUUUCUAUCAGCAGAUUCAACCUCUUAUAAUUGGGAUAAAGUUGGCUAGGGUGCCAUAUUGGGGCCUCCUCCUAAAGCCAUUGACUCUGUUGUUUGAGUGUUGUGUGUGUGCUGGUUAAGUGUCGUAUGAGUGUGUUGUGGUUGUGGUUGCUGAGUGUUGAAUGAGUGUGGAGGAUGUGGCGACUACCCCAAGAGGAUGAGGGGUUUCGCCGCCUGAGCUGUUUUUUCCCCCUGUUCAGAGUAAUGCUUUCCGAUUUCCCAGGAUAGUAUAGCUCUUACAAGAGCUUUUUAUCCCUUUUGCCUAUCCAUUUUACUAAAUACAGCUAUGCCCUAUAUCACCAUUAUCCGUUCGAUUAAC